rnacentral:rRNA from 1 species
CCUACGGGGUGCUGCAGUGGGGAAUAUUGGACAAUGGGCGAAAGCCUGAUCCAGCCAUGCCGCGUGUGUGAAGAAGGCCUUCGGGUUGUAAAGCACUUUCAGUGGGGAAGAAAGCCUUGGGGCUAAUACCCUCGAGGAAGGACAUCACCCACAGAAGAAGCACCGGCUAACUCCGUGCCAGCAGCCGCGGUAAUACGGAGGGUGCGAGCGUUAAUCGGAAUUACUGGGCGUAAAGCGCGCGUAGGCGGUCUGAUAAGCCGGUUGUGAAAGCCCCGGGCUCAACCUGGGAACGGCAUCCGGAACUGUCAGGAUAGAGUGCAGGAGAGGAAGGUAGAAUUCCCGGUGUAGCGGUGAAAUGCGUAGAGAUCGGGAGGAAUACCAGUGGCGAAGGCGGCCUUCUGGACUGACACUGACGCUGAGGUGCGAAAGCGUGGGUAGCAAACAGGAUUAGAUACCCGAGUAGUC